CAGUUCUCUCCAAUUCACGGCUACUCACGUCCUUUUGCUCUGCUGCUGGGCGUUGUGCCUCCUUCACAUUUACUGGACUUACCUGAUCUUGCGAGUCAUGUACUUGAAUCUUGCUUUCGGAAUUGAGGAAGAUGACACGGUGUCUGAUUGUGAGGAAGAAGAACAUUUGAAGAAAAAAAUGUAGCGAAAAGUUAACGGUUCUCACUGCCAGUUCCGAUUCUGUUCCUCUCUCUGAAGGAGCCUGCGUGGAAGAAAGCUGAUACAAAUUGAAAUUUCUUGAAUUUACCGAUCCUGGGUGGAAAUUUCCUGGUUGUGCUGAGAAAAAAAUCAUUUCACUCUUUUAAAGUUUAAUGUUUUUAGUUUACUGCUUCUUUUGUCAAGCCAAUAGUUUUCAUUUUCUUU